rnacentral:rRNA from 1 species
UGGGGAAUAUUGCACAAUGGGCGCAAGCCUUAUGCAGCCAUGCCGCGUGUAUGAAGAAGGCCUUCGGGUUGUAAAGUACUUUCAGCGGGGAGGAAGGGAGUAAAGUUAAUACCUUUACUCAUUGACGUUACCCGCAGAAGAAGCACCGGCUAACUCCGUGCCAGCAGCCGCGGUAAUACGGAGGGUGCAAGCAUUAAUCGGAAUUACUGGGCGUAAAGCGCACGCAGGCGGUUUGUUAAGUCAGAUGUGAAAUCCCCGGGCUCAACCUGGGAACUGCAUCUGAUACUGGCAAGCUUGAGUCUCGUAGAGGGGGGUAGAAUUCCAGGUGUAGCGGUGAAAUGCGUAGAGAUCUGGAGGAAUACCGGUGGCGAAGGCGGCCCCCUGGACGAAGACUGACGCUCAGGUGCGAAAGCGUGGGGAGCAAACAGG